CUUGCUUCGGCCCGUAAAAUACUAAAAAUUUGGAAAAGAUAAGAGAAGAUUUGCAUGGCCCUGCGCAAGGAUGGAAAAAGCAAAAACGUUUGAAGCGUUCCCAUUUUCA